rnacentral:rRNA from 1 species
CUUUACUGUAGCCUGGUAUUGGGUUCGGGCUUUGACUGCGCAGGAUAGGUGGGAGACUGAGAAGUGUGCCUUGUGGGGCACAUGGAGUCAACGGUGAGAUACCACUCUGUCAGAGCUAGAAUUCUAACCUUCACCCGUAAUCCGGGGAAGGAACCGUAUCAGGUGGGCAGUUUGACUGGGGCGGUCGCCUCCUAAAAGGUAACGGAGGCGCGCAAAGGUGUUCUCAGGCUGGUUGGAAAUCAGCCGUAGAGUGUAAAGGCAGAAGAACGCUUGACUGUGAGAGUGACAACUCAAGCAGGGUGGAAACACGGCCUUAGUGAUCCGACGGUGCCGUGUGGAAGGGCCGUCGCUCAACGAAUAAAAGUUA